rnacentral:rRNA from 1 species
UGCAAGUCGAACGCUUCUUUUUCCACCGGAGCUUGCUCCACCGGAAAAAGAGGAGUGGCGAACGGGUGAGUAACACGUGGGUAACCUGCCCAUCAGAAGGGGAUAACACUUGGAAACAGGUGCUAAUACCGUAUAACAAUCAAAACCGCAUGGUUUUGAUUUGAAAGGCGCUUUCGGGUGUCGCUGAUGGAUGGACCCGCGGUGCAUUAGCUAGUUGGUGAGGUAACGGCUCACCAAGGCCACGAUGCAUAGCCGACCUGAGAGGGUGAUCGGCCACAUUGGGACUGAGACACGGCCCAAACUCCUACGGGAGGCAGCAGUAGGGAAUCUUCGGCAAUGGACGAAAGUCUGACCGAGCAACGCCGCGUGAGUGAAGAAGGUUUUCGGAUCGUAAAACUCUGUUGUUAGAGAAGAACAAGGAUGAGAGUAACUGUUCAUCCCUUGACGGUAUCUAACCAGAAAGCCACGGCUAACUACGUGCCAGCAGCCGCGGUAAUACGUAGGUGGCAAGCGUUGUCCGGAUUUAUUGGGCGUAAAGCGAGCGCAGGCGGUUUCUUAAGUCUGAUGUGAAAGCCCCCGGCUCAACCGGGGAGGGUCAUUGGAAACUGGGAGACUUGAGUGCAGAAGAGGAGAGUGGAAUUCCAUGUGUAGCGGUGAAAUGCGUAGAUAUAUGGAGGAACACCAGUGGCGAAGGCGGCUCUCUGGUCUGUAACUGACGCUGAGGCUCGAAAGCGUGGGGAGCAAACAGGAUUAGAUACCCUGGUAGUCCACGCCGUAAACGAUGAGUGCUAAGUGUUGGAGGGUUUCCGCCCUUCAGUGCUGCAGCUAACGCAUUAAGCACUCCGCCUGGGGAGUACGACCGCAAGGUUG